rnacentral:rRNA from 1 species
UUGGAGGGCAAGUCUGGUGCCAGCAGCCGCGGUAAUUCCAGCUCCAAUAGCGUAUAUUAAAGUUGUUGCAGUUAAAAAGCUCGUAGUUGAAUUUUAGGCCCGGUUGGACGGUCUGCUCUAGGGUUUGUACUGUCCUGACUGGGUCUUACCUUCUGGUGAGCUGUCGUGUUGUUUACUCAGCGCGGCAGGGAACCAGGACAUUUACUUUGACAAAAUUAGAGUGUUUAAAGCAGGCAUACGCUUGAAUACAUUAGCAUGGAAUAAUAGAAUAGGACUUUGGUUCUAUUUUGUUGGUUUCUA